rnacentral:rRNA from 1 species
CAGUCGCCACGGUAAUACAGAGGGUGCAAGCGUUAAUCGGAAUUACUGGGCGUAAAGCGCGCGUAGGUGGUUUGUUAAGUUGGAUGUGAAAGCCCCGGGCUCAACCUGGGAACUGCAUCCAAAACUGGCAAGCUAGAGUACGGUAGAGGGUGGUGGAAUUUCCUGUGUAGCGGUGAAAUGCGUAGAUAUAGGAAGGAACACCAGUGGCGAAGGCGACCACCUGGACUGAUACUGACACUGAGGUGCGAAAGCGUGGGGAGCAAACAGGAUUAGAUACCCCGGUAGUCCCUGUCUCUUAUAA